rnacentral:rRNA from 3 species
GUACACACCGCCCGUCGCUACUACCGAUUGAAUGAUUUAGUGAGGUCUUCGGACCGGUGCGCGGUCUCCGUCUCGUACGGUUUCUGAUGUCACUGGAAAGAUGACCAAACUUGAUUAUUUAGAGGAAGUAAAAGUCGUAACAAGGUUUCCGUAGGUGAACCUGCGGAAGGAUC